rnacentral:lncRNA from 1 species
AGGGACACUGCCAGGCACGGGGACACCUCCAGGUGCGGGGACACUGCCGGGCACAGGGACACUGCCAGGCACGGGGACACCUCCAGGUGCGGGGACACCGCUGGGCACAGGGACACCGCUGGACACGGGGACACUGCUGGGCACGGGGACACUGCUGGACACGGGGACACCGCUGGGAACUGGGACACCUCCAGGCACGGGGACACUGCCGGACACGGGGACACCUCCAGGUAUGGGGACACCUCCAGGUACGGGGACACCUCCAGGCACGGGGACACUGCUGGGCACGGGGACACUGCUGGGCACGGGGACACCCCUGAGCACAGGGACACCGCUGGGCAGGGGGACAGGGUCACCCAUGGGGAUGGCACAACUCAUGGGGACACCACCACCCAUGGGGACACCAGCAACCGUGGGGACAUCAGCUAUGGAGACACCACCAGCUGCGGGGACACUCCCAACCAUGGGGACACCACCACCUGUGGGGACUUCAUCAACCACGGGGACACCAGUGGACACAGGGGCUUGGGGACACCCAGGACACCCAUGGGGACAUCACCCAUGGGGACAUCACCACUCCCACCAGGAUUUCAUCAGCUGAGGGGACACCAUGAAACACAGGGACACUGGGGCUUGGGGACAUCUUCACCCAUGGGGACAGCAGGACAUGGAGACACCGGGACAGAGGGACACAGCCACCCCCAGGGCCACAGGGACACGGGACAGGGAUUGGACACCCCUGGGAGCUCUGAGAUGGGGCCACCAGGACGUGGGGCCAGGGGGACCCAGAGAUGGGGAGGGGACAUGAGGCAGGGGACGUGGUGAGCACUGGGGACCGUGUCACCGCUUGCGUCACAUGUCCCCAACCCCUCCUGAUGUCCCCAUCCCCUCUCAGCGUGUCCCUGUCCCUGCUCCACCUCGGCGCAGCUCCCCAGGGAUGGGGACAUCCGGCCAGCUGUGACUCCGUGUCCCCAAGGGUCCCCUCUGUGAUGUCCCCAACCCCUCCCUGAUGUCCCCACCAUUCUCCUCAAUGUCCCCAACCCGUCCCAUGUCCCCUCUGUGAUUUCCCCAACCUGACCCAUGUCCCCACCGUACCCCUCAAU